rnacentral:lncRNA from 1 species
AUGGUGCCUUCACAAGUGACCUCUCUUGUGGUCACUCUCCUAGUGGCAAUAGUCUCUCUCACAUUGCCUUCAGAAACUUCAGCUAACUACCCUUACACCUCUCCACCACCACCGGCCUCUCCUCCCUACCAUUACAAGUCACCACCGCCUCCUUCUCCUUCUCCUCCAGUGCACUACUCACCACCUAAGCAUCCCUACCACCCUAAGUCACCACCACCUCCUGUGUACGCACCACCUAAGCAUCCCUACCACCCUAAGUCACCACCACCUCCUGUGUACCCACCACCUAAGCAUCCCUACCACCCCAAGUCACCACCACCAUCACCAAAGCCUUACCACUACAAAUCCCCACCACCACCUCCUGCUCCAGUGCACUCACCACCCCCACCUAAGGAGCCAUACCACUACAAGUCCCCACCACCACCACCCAAGAAGCCCUACCACUACAAAUCUCCCCCACCACCUCCUCCUCCAGUUCACUCACCACCACCACCCAAGGAGCCUUACCACUACAAAUCUCCACCACCACCACCCAAGAAACCUUACUAUUACAAGUCUCCUCCACCACCACCAAAGAAGCCUUACCACUACAUGUCUCCUCCCCCACCGGUGUACUCACCACCUCCACCAGUGCACUCACACCCACCACCAAAAAAGCCUUACCAUUACAAAUCUCCUCCCCCGCCAGAAUAUUCACCAGCUCCACCAGUGCACUCAACCCCACCACCAAAGAAGCCCUACCAUUACAAAUCCCCACCACCACCACCACCACACAAGAAGCCUUAUUACCCUGUUCACUCACCACCUCCACCUAAGAAGCCUUACCACUACAAAUCCCCACCACCACCUUCUCCUACUCCUCCUAAAUACUCACCACCUAAGCACCCCUACCACUACAAGUCUCCACCACCACCACCAAAGAAGCCUUACCAUUACAAGUCCCCACCACCUCCUUCUCCUACUCCCCCUAAAUACUCACCACCUAAGCACCCCUACCACUACAAGUCACCACCACCACCACCCCAAGAAGCCUUACCACUACAAGUCUCCACCACCACCACCUCCUCCAGUUCCCACACCAUCUCCACCCAAGAAACCUUACCACUACAAGUCUCCCCCACCACCCCCUCCAGUCUACAAGUCUCCUCCACCACCAGUUUACUCACCACCACCACCACCUAAGAAACCUUACAAGCCACCAACUCCUCCAGCAGUUCACCCACCACACGGUUACAUCUAUUCCUCACCCCCACCUCCUCACCACUACUAGAUAUUGAAAGUUUAAUUGCAUCAAGCUGGUAAG